AACGUAGGACGCAAGCGUUAUCCGGAGUUACUGGGCGUAAAGCGCGAGCAGGCGGCUCGACAAGUUCGAUGUGAAAGCGCCCGGCUCAACCGGGCGAGGCCAUUGGAAACUAUCGAGCUGGAGGGCAGUAGAGGCAGGCGGAAUUCCGGGUGGAGUGGUGAAAUGCGUAGAGAUCCGGAAGAACACCGGAGGCGAAGGCGGCUUGCUGGGCAUGGUCUGACGCUGAGGCGCGAAAGCGUGGGGAGCGAACAGG
rnacentral:rRNA from 1 species